rnacentral:tRNA from 1 species
GAGGAUUUGUUGUAAUGUAGCAUCUGUGCCUUUUAAGCACCAGGGUAAAGAUUCUUA